CUCAGUGGGCUGCAGUAGGCUGUAGAGGGGCGCUCUGGGGAGAGGGAGGAGCGCGGCGCAUGCGUUGCAGCACCGUGCGGCGCUCCUGGAGAGGCUGUGGGUUCGUGGCAUCCGCGCCGCGGCCGCAAGUAUAGCAGGUUUCCUACCUGGGGUUCAUCGCCGUAUAAGUCAUCGCUGCUGCCACCCAGGCACGGCUCUCGGUCCCGCCGCUCCCUCCGCCCUCUCGGCACGGCCGGCCCUACGAAUUUUUUGCUACGACACUCGCUUCAGCAGGAGUGCCGGGGGUCAAGCUCAAGACUUACAUGUGCUUGAUGAUGCUGUCAGAAGUCAUGCUGCUUGUGAAGAUAUAAACUGAACCCUUUUGAUUCUGUGAGCUUAUUAAACAAUAUAAUUUUCAAAUCACAGUAAAAUCUUGAUUCAGCAACACGCCAGGAUAAUCAUUGUUUCCAUGGCCACCCUUGGAGGCAGUUGAAAGCCUGGACUUCACUGUCCUUGUAGCCUGGAGCAUUAGUGCAGCAUGUUCACAAAGUCGGUCAUUUCCUGCCAGCACAGCUCCUGAGUACUGGGACCACACGUAUGCACCAACAUGCUCAUCUCUGCCACUAAUAGCAGCUACUGUCGCCUCCUCACGAAAUGAUGGCUGACCUAGGGUUUUGGACAUACUAAACAAUUCCUCUACCCCUGAACUGUAUCUCUGGCUUUAGGGAAGAUACUUUGGAAAAAUGGUUUAGAGUUUGCCAGAUCCUAUGAGUGAGGGACCUCAAACGAUAAGAGGAGGGUACUCCUCAAUGGAAUCGGUAACCCAGUCAGCAAGGUUGAAAGGAACAGAGCCAGUUGUCCAUGGACUGAAACUUUUGAAACUGAAUCUGAGGAGUUAAUGUUUCCAUGACUAUCUCGGAAGGAGAGGUGGACAAAGGAACAGGUAGCUCACUCCUGCAGCUUACAGUGAUAAAACACUGACCGAAAACACGUGGGGAAGGAAAGCGCUGAUCUAACUUAUAUGUCAGAGGGAAGCCAAGUCAUGAACCUGGAGGGGUUUCAGGUGCAAAUGCCUGCAGGAUCCUGAUGGGGUACAUGUGUGAGAUGGUUCCUGGUAUUUUCAUAUUCUCUCUCUUUCAUAUUCUCUCUCUCUCUCCCCCUCCCUCUCUUCCUCUUUCCCUCUCUCUCUCGACAAGUGAUGGAUCUAAGGGGAUGGGAGAGUAUUUGAGACCCUGACCAGUUUAAUAUGCACAAUGCAUCUAAGAGAAAGGCUACUACUUGGCUGCUGCUAAUUGUCUGGAAAGGUAAAUCCAGGAUUGCCAGGACUUCUGGUUCACUACAAGGGAAACUUGAGGAGCUUCAAAGUUUUUAUUGCUUUUCAUACCUCACACAAUAGAAGAGUAUGUCCAUAAAUGCUUUAAUAAUCUUACAGUCUCUGUCUAUUUGCAGUUGUAUUACUGUGACGUUAACUGUGUUCUUUUGCUUUUAACCAAGGGUAUGUGGGACACUUCUGUUCUACUUAGAUCAGCCCUGCUACUUUCCUUUGGGCAGAGUUUAGAACUGGACCACAAUGUGGAUACAUCUAUCUAUGUAACUUAGGAUGAAAUA